rnacentral:rRNA from 1 species
CCUACGGGAGACAGCAGUGGGGAAUAUUGCACAAUGGGGGAAACCCUGAUGCAGCCACGCCGCGUGAACGAUGAAGUAUUUCGGGAUGUAAAGCUCUAUUAGCAGGGAAGAAAAUGACGGUACCUGACUAAGAAGCCCCGGCUAACUACGUGACAGCAGCCGCGGUAAUACGUAGGGGGCAAGCGUUAUCCGGAAUUACUGGGUGUAAAGGGGGCGUAGGCGGCGGUGCAAGCGAGAUGUGAAAGCCCGGGGCUGAAACCGGGGACUGCAGGGGGAACUUGUCCGCUAGAGUGUCGGAGAGGCAGGCGGAAUUCCUAGUGUAGCGGUGAAAUGCUUAGAUAUGACGAAGAACACCAGUUGCGAAGGCGGCCUGCUGGAGCAUGACUGACGCUGAUGCUCGAAAGCGUGGGUAGCAAACAGGAUUAGAUACCCGGGUAGUC